rnacentral:rRNA from 1 species
CCUACGGGUGGCAGCAGUGGGGGAUAUUGGACAAUGGGGGAAACCCUGAUCCAGCGACGCCGCGUGAGUGAAGAAGUAUUUCGGUAUGUAAACUUUCUUUGACAGGGAAGAGCAGAAGAUGGUACCUGUCGAAUAAGCCAUGGCUAACUACGUGCCAGCAGCGGCGGCAAUACGUAGGGCGCCAGCGUUGUCCGGAUUUACGGGGUGUAAAGGGUGUGUAGCUGGGCUGAGAAGGCAGAUGUGAAAUCCGGGGGCUCAACCCCCGAACUGCAGUUGAAACUGUUGGUCUUGAGUAUCGGAGAGGCAGGCGGAAUUCCUAGUGUAGCGGUGAAAUGCGUAGAUAUUAGGAGGAACACCGGUGGCGAAGGCGGCCUGCUGGACGACAACUGACGGUGAGGCGCGAAAGCGUGGGGAGCAAACAGGAUUAGAUACCCGAGUAGUC